rnacentral:rRNA from 1 species
UACGUAGGGGGCAAGCGUUGUCCGGAAUUAUUGGGCGUAAAGGGCGCGUAGGCGGCUUGGCAAGUGGAAGGUGAAAUCCCUCGGCUUAACCGAGGAACUGCCUUCCAGACUGCUUUGCUUGAGGCCGGGAGAGGUGAGUGGAAUUCCCAGUGUAGCGGUGAAAUGCGUAGAUAUUGGGAGGAACACCAGUGGCGAAGGCGGCUCACUGGACCGGUUCUGACGCUGAGGCGCGAAAGCGUGGGGAGCGAACCGG